rnacentral:rRNA from 1 species
CACUGCCGAGAAAAGCCUCUAGAUAGAAAAUAGGUGCCCGUACCGCAAACCGACACAGGUAGUCAAGAUGAGAAUUCUAAGGUGAGCGAGCGAACUCUCGUUAAGGAACUCGGCAAAAUGACCCCGUAACUUCGGGAGAAGGGGUGCUCUUUAGGGUUAACGCCCAGAAGAGCCGCAGUGAAUAGGCCCAAGCGACUGUUUAUCAAAAACACAGGUCUCUGCUAAACCGUAAGGUGAUGUAUAGGGGCUGACGCCUGCCCGGUGCUGGAAGGUUAAGAGGAGUGGUUAGCUUCUGCGAAGCUACGAAUCGAAGCCCCAGUAAACGGCGGCCGUAACUAUAACGGUCCUAAGGUAGCGAAAUUCCUUGUCGGGUAAGUUCCGACCCGCACGAAAGGCGUAACGAUUUGGGCACUGUCUCAACGAGAGACUCGGUGAAAUCAUAGUACCUGUGAAGAUGCAGGUUACCCGCGACAGGACGGAAAGACCCCGUGGAGCUUUACUGUAGCCUGAUAUUGAAAUUCGGCACAGCUUGUACAGGAUAGGUAGGAGCCUUUGAAACGUGAGCGCUAGCUUACGUGGAGGCGCUGGUGGGAUACUACCCUAGCUGUGUUGGCUUUCUAACCCGCACCACUUAUCGUGGUGGGAGACAGUGUCAGGCGGGCAGUUUGACUGGGGCGGUC